UGGGGAAUCUUCCGCAAUGGACGAAAGUCUGACGGAGCGACGCCGCGUGAGUGACGAAGGCCCUCGGGUCGUAAAGCUCUGUCAUCGGGGACGAACGGUCUCGUCAGGAAAUGGGCGGGAAUUGACGGUACCCGAGAAGGAAGCCACGGCUAACUACGUGCCAGCAGCCGCGGUAAUACGUAGGUGGCGGGCGUUGUCCGGACUUAUUGGGCGUAAAGCGCGCGCAGGUGGGAUCUUAAGUCUGUUCUCAAAGUGCGGAGCUUAACGCCGGGAUGGGAUAGAAACUGGGAGUCUUGAGUACCGGAGAGGAAAGCGGAAUUCCCCGUGUAGCGGUGAAAUGCGUAGAUAUGGGGAGGAACACCAGUGGCGAAGGCGGCUUUCUGGACGGUGUCUGACACUGAGGCGCGAAAGCCAGGGGAGCGAACG
rnacentral:rRNA from 1 species